rnacentral:rRNA from 1 species
GAUGAACGCUGGCGGCGUGCCUAAUACAUGCAAGUCGAGCGAACAGACGAGGAGCUUGCUCCUUCGGCGUUAGCGGCGGACGGGUGAGUAACACGUAGGUAACCUACCUAUAAGACUGGGAUAACUUCGGGAAACCGGAGCUAAUACCGGAUAAUAUUUCGAACCGCAUUGUUCGAUAGUGAAAGAUGGCUUUUCUAUCACUUAUAGAUGGACCUGCGCCGUAUUAGCUAGUUGGUAAGGUAACGGCUUACCAAGGCAACGAUACGUAGCCGACCUGAGAGGGUGAUCGGCCACACUGGAACUGAGACACGGUCCAGACUCCUACGGGAGGCAGCAGUAGGGAAUCUUCCGCAAUGAGCGAAAGCCUGACGGAGCAACGCCGCGUGAGUGAUGAAGGUCUUCGGAUCGUAAAACUCUGUUAUUAGGGAAGAACAAACGUGUAAGUAACUGUGCACGUCUUGACGGUACCUAAUCAGAAAGCCACGGCUAACUACGUG